GUCGUCUAAAGCUGUUAAAAAUAUUGUGAGUGAAAAUUAUCGGGUAAAUUUCGUCCGUAUCGCUAAUGUUAUACUUUUUUAGACUUGAACGAAUCGAGAGUAUCAAAUGUCAAUAUUUAAUGAAAUCGCAUUCUAAAGUUUUUACAUAAAACUAGUUGCCAAAUCCAGAAAGGUUCUUAAAAUCAAAAUUUGUAGAGUUAAAGUGAGCGAUUAUUAACGAGUAUCAAAAGCGCAUGGACAAGAUAAUAAUCCGUAUCGUUGGUAACUAGAUGGCCUCUAUAUCCUUGGAUAGACAUUUACCAAAAUGAAAUAAAUAUUUUUAAUUUUCUGUCAAUUUUAAGGGCUCUCCGAGGCGAAUCUGCCAUGUGCAUGGACUACAAAAUAUUCAGUACCGUUGGUACCUAGAUCGCCGAUAUAUUAUUCCUUAUUCCAUACCUUGGAUAGACAUUAAGGAAAUCUCAUUCUUAAGUUGUGGCUAAAUCUGGAUCUGUUCUAAAAAGAAAAUCCACAUCUGCCACGCCCAUGGAUAACAUAUAAUCAACAAAUUUGGUGCCUAGAUGACUUAGAUAUCCUUUGUUAUUCCAUACCAAGGAUAUAGUCCUAGCGAGCCUAAAGGACCGAGUUCUGCAAAAUGCACAGGGAACAUGGUCCAAAAAUAUGUAUGCUUUCUUUUACAGCCGCCCCCACCUACAGCCCGCCCCCUGAAUGGUUGCUAGUUGACUACCAUAUCCUUGGUUAUACCAUACCAUUGAUAUAGUCCUUGGGAACCUAAAGGACCAGAUCCCUGCAAAAUGUGCAUUGCAAUGGUCCAAAAACAUGUAUGAUUUUUCUUUCAGAAGCCCUUUUACAUUAGCUGCAGCUGCAGCUGCUGUUUAACAGCCGCCUAAUAGCACUCAUUUUAUGUAAACUGGUACUUAACAUCACUCAUUUUAAUUGAGUUACAUUUCUGUCGACCUCGUCGACCUUCUGGGCAUUUAUGUUCGCCUGGUACUUGAGAGGAAUUUAGGGCAAAUUUGGGACCGGCGGUGAGGGAGCCCCUUUGUACUACGUCAUUUUUCGGAUGCAAAAAUAUUUUUUGUCGACCUUCUGAGCAUUUCCGUUCGCCUGGUAUUUUGUCAGAUUUAAAGAAAAAUCUCGGCAGCUAGCGGUUGCCAACAAACGCCCCCACGGGUAUGCAAUAUGUUUCUAAAGACCGUUGAUUUUUUAAUAUUUAAAUAAA